rnacentral:rRNA from 1 species
GACGAACGCUGGCGGCGUGCUUAACGCAUGCAAGUCGUACGGUAAGGCCCUUUCGGGGGUACACGAGUGGCGAACGGGUGCGUAACACGUGAGUAACCUGCCCACAACUUUGGGAUAACGCUAGGAAACUGGUGCUAAUACUGGAUAUGUGCUCCUGCUGCAUGGUGGGGGUUGGAAAGCUCCGGCGGUUGUGGAUGGACUCGCGGCCUAUCAGCUUGUUGGUGGGGUAGUGGUCUACCAAGGCGGCGACGGGUAGCCGGCCUGAGAGGGUGACCGGCCACAUUGGGACUGAGAUACGGCCCAGACUCCUACGGGAGGCAGCAGUGGGGAAUAUUGCACAAUGGGCGCAAGCCUGAUGCAGCAACGCCGCGUGCGGGAUGACGGCCUUCGGGUUGUAAACCGCUUUCAGCAGGGACGAAGCUUUUUGUGACGGUACCUGCAGAAGAAGCACCGGCUAACUACGUG